UCAUUCCCUUAAAAUUCUGUAGUAUUCGGCAGAGCAUAUUCUCCCUCUCUAACUCUCCCCUUUUCACUCCCCUUUCUAUCCUCUUCAUUUUCUUCGUUCUGAAUCGCACAGAAGAAAAUUUGGUGGUUUCUUCGCUUCUACACUGCUCGAAUUAUGGAUCUAUUGUGCUUGCAUGUCAAGAACAGCGGCUUUCCGCUAAGGAAUUCGUUAAUCGAGAAACCCAUUUGCUGGAAUUCCAGAAACUGUUCAAUGGCUGUUGAAAUUAGGGUUUCCAGGAAGGAAUCUUUGUCGAAUUGCUGUGGGUAUCGAUCGAUUACAGUCAGAUCCAUGGGCAAGAAGAAUUCCGGAAGUUCUAAUGGCUCCAAUUCUAAUUCAUCGUCUUCCAGUUCUGGGAAUAGCGAUCAAUCAAAAGCUGGCGAUGGUCUAAAAGGCAAUAAUCCACUUGGUGGCCACAAGUCUGGUGACACCAGCUCACCAAAAUCAAAGAAUAAACCCUUGGAUUGGAGGGAGUUUAGAUCAAUGCUCUACAUCAAUGAGAAGGCUGAAAAUGCAGAAUCUGUUCAUGACCAAGAUAAAAUUGCCUCAGCAUCAGAAUCUCUCCCCCUAAAGUGGGCACACCCUAUUUCAGCACCUGAGAAUGGUUCUAUCCUUGUUGCCACAGGAAAGCUCGACGGAGUUCGCACCUUUGAGAGAACCGUGGUUCUUCUCCUCAGAUCUGGAACGAGGAACCCACAGGAGGGCCCAUUUGGGAUCGUCUUAAACCGACCACUUAACAAGAAGAUGAAACAUAUGAAUCCCACCAAUGCUGAGUUGGCAACUACAUUUGCUGAUUGUGCUUUGAACUUUGGUGGACCCCUUGAUGCAAGUAUGUUCCUGCUAAGAGGUAUGGAAACCUGUGGACUUGCCGCUUUUGAGGAGGUCAUUCCUGGGGUCUACUUUGGCUCCCGUAACAGUUUGGCUGAAGCUGCAGCAUUGGUGAAGAAUGGGACAAUUAAGCCGCAAGAAUUGAGAUUCUUCAUGGGAUAUGCAGGGUGGCAAAUGGACCAAUUGAUAGAAGAGAUUGAAUCUGAAUACUGGUAUGUUGCUGCUUGUAGUACCAACUUGAUCUUUGGGGAUUCACAGUCGCACAGUUUGUGGGAAGAGAUUCUGCAACUAAUGGGAGGCCAGUACUCUGAAUUGAGCCGCAAGCCUAAGCAUGAUAUCUAGUUCAUCCUAAACCUCCUUUAACAUAAAAUUGACUCCAGCAUGUAUGGAAAGGUCGCCCUAAAUGUACAGCAGCUGAGAUUAUAUGACAGUAUGCUAAAGGGCGAGUGAAGACAGCUUACCUUCUUGCUUCCUCUUCUCGCUUGGCAUCAAGCUCCUUACAUGGUGGAUAUUUGGGUAAGCUAGACGGAUCACAGGGAAGAGGGCGUGAAGUGAAGAACUGAAACCAUGAAAAUUCAAAUUUGUGGUAUCAAGAAGAAAGAAGACCUGAAAAAGGCUCAACUAGAGCUAAUAGAAAGUUAAGGUACCGUGCUUUUGAGUGCAGAAGAAGCUGUGCCUCUGAGCGCUGGAUCAAUAGAGAGAAGCGUUUCCACCAUGGCCAAAGCCGAAGAAGGGAAGUGUUUGAAAGCUUCUGCAACACGUCGUCUGUACGGCCUCCGUGGCCUAAAGCUAGUAGCCUGAGGUAAAUUUGAUUUCCCCCAAUACUCCUCUGAAGGUGAACCACAUAGUUUGAAUAUCUUAUGCAUUUGUUCCACCUAGAAUAUGACAUGAUGAUCAUGUUACUAAGACUAGGUGGUCUAAGCCAACCAUAUUUUGCAAGGAAAAAAAAAGCAAAGAGCACCUCGGUACUUCCGGGCAUGAUAGGCUUCCCUGCAAAGAGUUCAGCAAUAAUGCAACCGACACUCCACAUAUCAAUCUCUACUCCGUACUCCGUUGCACCCAACAGUAGCUCGGGGGCUCUGUACCACAGAGUUACGACGUGGCUAGUCAAUGCCUGCUUCCGGUCAGGGCCAAAGGAUGUAGCCAGACCAAAAUCCCCGAUUUUAAGUACUCCAUCGUCACCAACUAGAAGAUUUGAUCCCUUGAUAUCACGAUGAAGAAUGCCUCGACUAUGACAGUGUUGUAGUCCUAGCAACAUUUGCCUAACAUAACAUUUGAUCUGCACCCAUAUAUCAUAUCACAGUAUCUGUCACACAAUAAGGGGGGAGAAUGUUGAAAACGAUACAUAAGCCAUAUUUCUAGUACACACCUGAGCUUCAGUGAAUUUGACCUCAAGUGAUGCUACAAGUCCAGCAAGAUCGUGUUCCAUGUACUCGAACACAAGGUACACGCUCCCUGAGAUCCUCGAUAUCACAAGAGCUUCAAGUUUCAUCACAUUCACAUGGUCUAACCUCCGAAGCAUGCAAAUCUCCCUUGCCAUGAACCGGACACUGUCUGGAUCCAUGUUUGAAAAUCUCACUAGCUUCAUUGCUACAAUCUUAUCCGUUGUUAGGUCACGCCCCCGGUAAACACUACUGUAAGUCCCUUGCCCUAUCUGCAUAAACGUGAGAACAUGAUUCUAUUGAAGAGUAUGAUCACACAACACAAUAAUCCAUAGGCAAUCCUAAUGAACAGUAAAGCACAUACUUUGUUCAAUUUUUGGUAUGAACGUGGACUCCUCGGAGUCCAGCCAUGAACGGCGUCCCCAGCAACGGAGGCAAGCCACGAGGGCCAUCCAGCAGCGACCUGCUCGGCUUUGGCACUGUGUGAAUCAGCCAUUAAUGGAGCAUGAAGUUUUGCUACAAAAUACAACAUGAAAUACAAUUUUCUCAGAAAAAACUCCAAAAUUCAAACAACAUGAAAGAGAGAAAUAGAAUAAGGAGAAAAACAUGGUUGUUACAUGUAGUUGAGUCAGAGAGCUGAAGAUGACCAUUUGCUCCAAGGUUUCGAUGCAUAUUACUGAAAUUGAAAUUGGAAUUGGAAAGAGAGAGAAUUAGGAGAGAAACAUGGUUGUUAUUGGUGCAUAAGCAUCUUCUUCUCUAUUUUCAGAGAAAGACAGAUAGAUUAUUUGGUUUGAUUCUGACGGAGAGGAAGUGGAACUGCCAGACGUGGGCUGCAAUAACACUUUGGUAUCAUCACAUUUUAUAAUCAACAAUCAUCUACUUUUUAUUCCUCCAAAUCAGAAUUUCAGACGUUGUGGCUGAGUUGGUCGUUUCAAUAAUUCUUAGUCAAAUUUGUUAGAAUAUAUAGGUGUCUUAGCACCUAAUUUUUUUUUGUAAUUUUGUUAAAUUGCGAAAAAUAGAAAUUUUGCAAUUUAGAAUUAUGUAAUUAAACGGUGUAGGAGGACCAACUAAUUUAACACAAAUUCCUUAUUUA